UACGUAGGCAGCAAGCGUUGUUCGGAGUUACUGGGCGUAAAGGGUGCGUAGGCGGUUGUUUAAGUUUGGUGUGAAAUCUCCCGGCUCAACUGGGAGGGUGCGCCGAAUACUGAAUGACUAGAGUGCGGGAGAGGAGCGCGGAAUUCCCGGUGUAGCGGUGAAAUGCGUAGAUAUCUGGAGGAAUACCGGUGGCGAAGGCGGCAUCCUGGACCGGCAUUGACGCUGAGUGAGCGAAAGCCAGGGGAGCAAACGGG
rnacentral:rRNA from 1 species